GGCUCAACUGGGCGGGGUCAGCGGAUACGGCGCGGCUGGAGCAAGCUAGGGGGCAAUGGAACUCCCGGUGUAGUGGUGGAAUGCGUAGAUAUCGGGAAGAACACCAGUGGCGAAGGCGGUUGCCUGGAGCUUUGCUGACGCUGAGGCGCGAAAGCGUGGGGAGCGAUCCGGAUUAGAUACCCGGGUAGUCCACGCCGUAAACGAUGCGGACUAGGUGUCGGGGGUAUCGACCCCCUCGGCGCCGCAGCUAACGCAUUAAGUCCGCCGCCUGGGGACUACGGCCGCAAGGCUAAAACUCAAAGGAAUUGACGGGGGCCCGCACAAGCAGCGGAGCGUGUGGUUUAAUUCGAUGCAACGCGCAGAACCUUACC
rnacentral:rRNA from 1 species